UACGGGGGGGGCAAGCGUUGUUCGGAAUUACUGGGCGUAAAGGGCUCGUAGGCGGUUUGUCGCGUCGGGAGUGAAAACACCGGGCUUAACUCGGUGCUUGCUUUCGAUACGGGCAGACUAGAGGCAUGCAGGGGAGAACGGAAUUCCUGGUGUAGCGGUGAAAUGCGCAGAUAUCAGGAGGAACACCGGUGGCGAAGGCGGUUCUCUGGGCAUGUCCUGACGCUGAGGAGCGAAAGUGUGGGGAGCGAACAGG
rnacentral:rRNA from 1 species